UACGUAGGAGACGAGCGUUGUCCGGAAUUACUGGGCGUAAAGCGCGCGUAGGCGGCUUUGCAAGUCGGGUGUGAAAUCCCCAGGCUUAACCUGGGAACUGCAUUCGAGACUGCAUUGCUAGAGUAUGGGAGAGGGAAGUGGAAUUUCCGGUGUAGCGGUGAAAUGCGUAGAUAUCGGAAGGAACAUCAGUGGCGAAAGCGACUUCCUGGACCAAUACUGACGCUCAUGUGCGAAAGCGUGGGGAGCAAACAGG
rnacentral:rRNA from 1 species